rnacentral:lncRNA from 1 species
UCUUCAUCUAAAUCGGUAUAGCCCAUCGUUUUUCUCUUACUCCCAGAAUGUUUAACAUUGCCAAAGUCAUUCUUGAAAUUUCUGAGGUUUUGUGAAAUUACAAGGCCGGUUAAAAUUCGUCCCCUUCUCCUUUGCUCAGCUUUUCCAUCAAACCACUUCUUCUUUCCCCGAAAACUAUGAGCUGGUGGCAGACCUUUUCUGUGGCACAUAUACACAUGUUUUCUGCUGUACUUAAGCCACAUACUGUCUGUGUUUUUUUCACAUAAAGGACACCCCAUUUUUCCCUUCACUUUGCAGCUGCAAGAUUCCCAUAAGCCGGGAAAUCACUGAUGUCCAAAGCAGCAUUGCCUUCAGUGUGAAAGUUGAUCGAGUAUAAGCGUCGUACACUAACUCUCCACUGCUCCACAGAUGGUUUAGAUCUUCAAUGAGAGGCUCUAAGUAGACAUCUAUACUGUUACCGGGCUGUUGUGGACCAGGAAUCAACAGUGAAAGCAUUAUGCUCUCCUUCUUCAUACAUAAAUCAUGUGGCAAGUUGUAGUUGACUAACAAUACCGGCCAGCAGCUGUACAUAGAAUUAUUCAUGUUGAAUGGAUUAAAUCCGUCUGUUGAAAGUCCAAGCCUCAUGUUCCUUUCUUCAGCGGCAAAGUCAGGGUAUUUCGCAUUCAUCUGAUCCCAUGUGACUGAAUCAACAGGGUGUUGAAGUUUCCCAUCAGUGCUUUUGUUGUUGAAGUGCCACCUUAGAUCCUUAGCCAUUUCCUCAGACCGGAACAUUCUCUUCAACCUUGGAAUUAUUGGAAAGUAGAGUAAUACUUUCUGUGGGACUCCUUUCUUCUUCUCACCCGUAUGGAUAUUAGUCUUCCAUCUCGAUGCCUUGCAUUUUGGACAGUACUCAAGCUUCUUCAACUUCUUUCUGAAUAGGCAGCAGUCAUUCACACAAGCAUGGAUCUUCUCGUAACCCAUAUCAAAUGAUUUCAAAAAUUUCUUAACCUCGUACAGUGAAGUGUGCAGCACAUUCUCCUCUGGUAACAUUUCCGGCAACGUCUCUAGCAGUUCAUUGAAGCUCUUGUCAGACCAUCCAUUCUGAGUCUUCAAUCUAAAUAAUGACACUAUUGCAGAUAACUUGCUGUGGUUCGCACAUGUAGGAUACAAAGGUGUUUCAGCUUCAGCUAGCUUCGCCAAAAAUUCAUCUUCUUUCUUGUCCUCUCCCUCUGCUAUCUCAAAGACAUCCCCCGUACCAGCUAAAGCUUCAUCGGAACACUCAGCGGCUCUGUAUAAACCAAUGAUCUCAUCAUUCCAUUGACUUGCCCUUCUUUCAUCUGCAACCACUGAGCUCAACUCUCCAUGCAGAUACCAAUCAGUGCGCUUCUUAUAAGCCUCCUCCAUUCCCCUAGUAACAAGAUGAGCAACUACCACACUUCCGCAAUGACGAUCUAUGUUACGACAGUCAAUGCAAGGACAGACAAUCAUAUCAAUUCCUCCCGAAGCUGCAGCCACUUCCCGUACAAACUUAGUAGCUCCUCUCUCAUAAGCAGGAUCGACUCUUCGGUGACAUGAACAAAAAUUCACAAGCUCAGUGACUAAACACAUACUGAAACAUAACAUAUAUGAUAAAAUUCAUUACCUGCUCAGAUGAACCCAGUCUUUGUCCACCAUUCUAUGUUCUAAAACCUAAAUUGAAACCUUUAGUAACAUAGAGAACCAUUCAAAGUAACAAAUAAUAUAAUCAAUCAAACCUAAAUUGAACAAUUUAUCGCUUGACUGUAAAUCGAAAUCGAUAAAAUCAUGAAUCAAGUUUAAUGUUGUUAAGAAUAUAAUAAAGGGAAUCUAAGCAAACAACGUGGAGCAGGAACGCAAAUCAAACAGGAAAGAAAACAAAGACAAAAUCAAAGCAACAAAACAUCUCUUCCAUUUGAGAUAACAAGCGACAGAGAUGUCGCAAUCACAAUCUCCGAUACCUGUGCAGUCGACAAUAAUGGAUGUGGGGAGCUUGAUUACGGUUCUGGAUUAGCGGAUUAGGGUUUUAGUGAUGGAGAUUGUGGUCUAAUUUUUUUAGGGUUAGUACGGAAAGAGGGGAAACUGAGAAAAAGAGAAAGGUCUUUCGCGAGUGGAGAGAGGGAAAAUAAUCAGAUUAGUCUUUUUUUUGCUAAGUGUACCGCGGUAAAGCUAAUUUUAGGUUCCCGCUUAGUGAAACUCUGAGUUGUGCCUCACCGGGAGUUCCUAAUCAUAUCAGAAACAGUACAUAAAGUCAAAUUUAGACAUAACAUAUUCAAAAUGGAAAACUAUCUAAGGUAGCAUGAAAUAGAUAUCUUACCGCCCAAUAAGGUAGCUUGAAAAAGAUAGAUCUUUUCUUCCAUCUAGAUAACUAACCCUCAUCUAUUUCCACUUCUUCCUCUUCCUCCUCAUCUUCCUCUUCCUCUUCAUCUAAAUCGGUACAGCCCAUAUUUUUUCUCUUACUCCCAGAAUGUUUAACAAUGCCAAAGUCAUUCUUGAAAUUUCUAAGGUUUGUGAAAUUUCAAGGCCGGUUAAAAUUCUUCCCCUUCUCCUUUGCUCAGCUUUUCCAUCAAACCACUUCUUCUUUCCUCGGAAACUAUGAGCUGGUGGCAGACCUUUUCUGUGGCACAUAUACACAUGUUUUCUGCUGUACUUAAGCCACAUACUGUCUGUGUUUUUCCCACAUAAAGGACACCCCAUUUUUCCCUUAACUUUGCAGCCUGCAAGAUUCCCAUAAGCCGGGAAAUCACUGAUCGUCCAAAGCAGCAUUGCCUUCAGUGUGAAAGUUGAUCGAGUAUAAGUGUCGUACACUAACUCUCCACUGCUCCACAGAUGGUUUAGAUCUUCAAUGAGAGGCUCUAAGUAGAUAUCUAUACUGUUACCGGGCUGUUGUGGACCAGGAAUCAACAGUGAAAGCAUUAUGCUCUCCUUCUUCAUACAUAAAUCAGGUGGCAAGUUGUAGUUGACUAACAAUACCGGCCAGCAACUGUACAUAGAAUUAUUCAUGUUGAAUGGAUUAAAUCCGUCUGUUGAAAGUCCAAGCCUCAUGUUCCUUUCUUCAGC